GAAAAAAUCGAAGAAAAACAAAACUCGGAAAUAAGAGAAAAGAAAACUACAAGUGAAAAAAUAGUUCUGCAGGUUGCGCUCUUUUCGGUUUUGUAUGGGCCGCCGCCCCUAUCUUGCAUUCCUUUUUUAUCUUUUGUGUGU
rnacentral:ribozyme from 1 species